CAUAGCGAGACCCUGUCUCAAAAAGACAAAAAAAAAAAAAAAAAAAAAAAAAAGAAGAAGUUCUGUUAUAUUGUGGGAUGUAUAAUGUACCUUGCUUAUGUUCUUGUUCUUUUUUUCCCCUCUCCCUCUGGCUGGUGGAUUUUCUUUUCUGGGCACGUAGCUGGGGAGGUUUCUAGUGUGCACUGACUGGGAGAGACUGGGCUGUCGGUGAAAGGAUCUAAUCAGGACCCUGUGUCAUAGAGAAGCUAAUGAAGAACUGAUGUUUUCUCCACUUCAGGCAACUCUGUGUGCACUAAUCCAAGAGAAGGAAUUUUGUUCAAUGGUGUCAACUACUGAGCUUCAGAAGACAACUGGGACUAUGAUUCACAAACUGGCGGCAAGAGCUCUAAUCCGAGAUUUUGAAGACGGCAUUCUUCAUGAAGAUGAAGCCAACCAUGAGAUGAAGAAACAAAUGAUGAAAUCUCUGAUUAUUAAGCUCAGUAAAGAAAACUCUCUUAUAACACAAUUUACAAGCUUUGUGGCAGUUGAGAAAAGGGAUGGCAGUGAGUCACCUUUCUCUAAUGCUCCAAAUGUUUUGGAAUUGGUUGAUGACGAAGAUGUGGACUUUCUGCCGUACUUGAAGUGGCAGGAGCAGCAAGAGCCGGCCGACACGAUACAGCCUCUUUCAGCACCCCCUGAAUGGAGUGAAGAGCCGCCAAGUAAAGGUCUGACUACAAGAAGACUUAAAAGUUCGGGUAGAAGGAGACUCAGGUUAUCUAUGCUGGAAGUUUCUGAAGAUUUUGAGGAGAUGGGUUUGGGUCCUCAAGGGGUGGCACAACCAGUCACACUGGAGCCUCAAAGCGGAGAUGUAGAAAACCUGCUGAGUUUGACGCAGAUGGACUCAUCAGAACAAGAAGAAUUUAACAUACAGUCAAAGACAGCCAGGUCAAAACAAAAGUCUGCUUUUACCUCUUUCUUUGCUCCUCCUCCACCGCCUACCCCAGGUGCUCCUCCUCCACCGCCUACCCCAGGUGCUCCUCCUCCACCGCCUACUCCAGGUGCCAGCUGCUCUCUUUCCUUCCCUCCUCCCAAUGUCCUUCCUCAGAGUUUUGGUUCUCCUGAGCCUCCCAGACAGUUGGGCCUACCAAAGAGCGGCCAGGGCCUUGAGCUUGACACUGGUGCCAUAUUUUCCCUUCCGAAGCCUCCUGUCUUCCACAGUGGUCGUACUUCCCUGACUGGCUCACUGGGCUCGACGCAGUUUGAUCCAUGCAAAUUUUAUUCACACUCUGAAAACAACCUUUUUCCUGUCCCGAAUUCUGCGCUGGGCUUUUCCACUCCUCCUACUCCUCCUCCUCUCAACCUCACUGUACGUGCAGAGGCUGAUGGGCUGCGUGGUCCCCGUAGUCCCUCUGUUACUCAGAGUUCCCUGUUUGCUCAGAGUGCCCAUUCCAGUCUGGCAGAUUUGCUUGAAGAGGCAUCGUCAGAUAGGUUUGACAGAACUGCACCAUAUUCUCUUCACGAAGAUCUUUGGGAUGUGCCAAGUUGUGAAAGUUAUGUUGAGAGCUGCGUGCCCAAGGCCCUGUGUUUGAGAAGCACAAAAGCAAAAGGGAAAAAUAUAGAAGGAAGUUCGUUUGGAACAGAAAGUGAUGAAACACCAGCAAGUGCUCUGGCAUGUAGGUUUCUAAAAGAGAGGAAGAAACGUAAGGUAAUGAGUAGCUUCACUUCAAGCUCUCCGCUACAAGAUGAGGGUGGCACAGUCCCCCAGCCCAGCGGGAGGAGCUCUGUGCUCUGUGCUGCAGUCUUCAGUCUACAAACUCAGGAUGGUUUCUGGAAACUUACACCAGAAUUAGGCCAAAUAUUAAACCUUAACACACAUGUUUUACAUGCCUUUCUUGAACAAAAAGGGAUUCGCUCUCUAGGUAUAAAAGGAAGAGAAUGUCUCUUGGACCUGAUUGCCACAUUGCUGGUACUACAGUUUCUUCGCACCAAGUUCCAACAAGACAUAAUAGUCUUCAAAUCCUUGAUGAAAUUGGAUGACCCUUCCCUUUCCAGGAAUAUUCCCUGGGACUUCGAGGCAAUAAAGAAAGCAAGUGAGUGGGUCAGAAGAAUGGAGGGACAAUAUCCAUCCAUCUGUCAACGGCUUGAGCUGGGUGAAAACUGGGACUUGGCCACUAAGCACCUCCUGGGAAUUCAGCCGCCAGCCAGCACUUCUCCUCUGCACAGAGUUCUGUAUUCUGAUCAAGCCUGAAUCCAAUGAAAUUAUAUUUUAAACUUUUCUCAUGCUUCUGUGUCCUAAACAUAAUCAAAUAUAACUAGGUACUUACAAUAGCAUUUAAUUGUGAUUUUAUUCAGUGCAGCAAUCAGUGCCUUUACUGUAAAGUAAAUGGAAACAAUUGACUCUUUUACUCAACUAAAAAAAUAAAUGAAGAUGACCAUAUUGGAGAUUUUGUAUUUCAGUGUUUUAAGGUGUGGGGAGAUAUCUGAUGGUCCUGGGCCUUAAUUACCUCUCAUUCCAGGAGUCUGGUGGUGAACUUACGGGCUGGGAAGAAGCCAGGCCUCUGGCUGGUGGUGGCCCAGGCCUUGGACAGCAAGUCUGUGGGCCACAGUGUGCCUUCUCCCGGCCGCGGUCCUCUGUCUGCAGACCCCUUGCUGCAUGGCUUGCUGCUUAAGAGAAAUGUGGUGUCCAGAGCAGGUCUUGAGUCAAUCUUGCUUUACUGUCACCAUCUAAAACUCAUUGCCAAACCCAAAGCCCUCUGUAUUUUUGCUCUCUUCUUGUUUUGUAGUUUCGCAUUUUAUGUUUUGGUGUAUGAUUUUCGGGGGGUGAGCAGGAUGGAGUCUCUCUGUGUUUUCCUGCUUUUGCCUCCCAAGAAGUGGGGAGCGGCCUAGCUGUGACUCAUUCUGAAUUGCAGUUUAUGAAAGGAAGAAGGUUGCUUCCAGCCUUCCUCCACUGCAGGCCAUUCCCAGAGGGCGGAGGCAGGGCGUUGUUCUUUCACCAUAGUUGCGCCAAAGGCCCGAAGGUUACGUGCUGGCCCCACCAGCAGGCACAGAGACACCAGCUGCGCAUAGCUGAGUUGCUCGUAUGGUACGCCCCAGCCAGCAUUUCUCCUACACCGGAAGGCUAGGAAAGUAUAGUUGUGGAAAGAUACUCCUGAGCUUGGUGUUUGGGGUGGGCGUUGCUCACUGGCCUUCUGUGUGG
ensembl:lincRNA